UACGAAGGGGGCUAGCGUUGCUCGGAAUCACUGGGCGUAAAGCGCACGUAGGCGGAUUGUUAAGUCAGGGGUGAAAUCCUGGAGCUCAACUCCAGAACUGCCUUUGAUACUGGCGAUCUCGAGUCCGGGAGAGGUGAGUGGAACUGCGAGUGUAGAGGUGAAAUUCGUAGAUAUUCGCAAGAACACCAGUGGCGAAGGCGGGUUGCUGGGCUGAUACUGACGCUGAGGCGCGAAAGCCAGGGGAGCGAACGGG
rnacentral:rRNA from 1 species